rnacentral:tRNA from 2 species
GCGAGGGUGGCGGAACUGGCAGACGCGCAGGACUUAGGAUCCUGUGCCUUCGGGCGUGGGGGUUCGAGUCCCCCCCUUCGCACCA